UACGAAGGGGACUAGCGUUGUUCGGAAUCACUGGGCGUAAAGGGCGCGUAGGCGGCUUUAUAAGUCGGGGGUGAAAGCCUGUGGCUCAACCACAGAAUUGCCUUCGAUACUGUAGAGCUUGAGACCGGAAGAGGUAAGUGGAACUGCGAGUGUAGAGGUGAAAUUCGUAGAUAUUCGCAAGAACACCAGUGGCGAAGGCGGCUUACUGGUCCGGUUCUGACGCUGAGGCGCGAAAGCGUGGGGAGCAAACAGG
rnacentral:rRNA from 1 species